rnacentral:rRNA from 1 species
CCUACGGGAGGCAGCAGUGGGGAAUCUUGCGCAAUGCUCGUAAGAGUGACGCAGCGACGCCGCGUGAAGGACGAAGGCCUUCGGGUCGUAACGUUCUUUAGACAGGGAAGAAAAUGCCUAUAAGUAACUGUGUAUGUAUUGACGGUACCUGUAUAAGCAGCCCCGGCUAACUCCGUGCCAGCAGCCGCGGUAAUACGGAGGUGGUGAGCGUUGUUCGGAGUGACUGGGCGUAAAGAGCACGUAGGCGGUGUUGUAAGUCAUUAGUCAAAGACUAGAGCUCAACUUUAGUAAGGCUAGUGAUACUAUCAUCCUAGAGUAUCAGAGAGGAUUGCAGAAUUCCUGGUGUAGCGGUGAAAUGCGUAGAUAUCAGGAGGAAUACCGUUAGCGAAGGCGGCAAUCUGGCUGGAAACUGACGCUGAGGUGCGAAAGCGUGGGUAGCAAACAGGAUUAGAUACCCUGGUAGUC